CAAUGGGCGAAAGCCUGAUGGAGCAACGCCGCGUGAGUGAAGAAGGUUUUCGGAUCGUAAAGCUCUGUUGUUGGUGAAGAAGGAUAGAGGUAGUAACUGGCCCCUAUUUGACGGUAAUCAACCAGAAAGUCACGGCUAACUACGUGCCAGCAGCCGCGGUAAUACGUAGGUGGCAAGCGUUGUCCGGAUUUAUUGGGCGUAAAGCGAGCGCAGGCGGAAAGAUAAGUCUGAUGUGAAAGCCCCCGGCUUAACCGAGGAAUUGCAUCGGAAACUGUGUUUCUUGAGUGCAGAAGAGGAGAGUGGAACUCCAUGUGUAGCGGUGGAAUGCGUAGAUAUAUGGAAGAACACCAGUGGCGAAGGCGGCUCUCUGGUCUGUAACUGACGCUGAGGCUCGAAAGCAUGGGUAGCGAACAGGAUUAGAUACCCUGGUAGUCCAUGCCGUAAACGAUGAGUGCUAAGUGUUGGGAGGUUUCCGCCUCUCA
rnacentral:rRNA from 1 species